AGAGUUUGAUCCUGGCUCAGGAUGAACGCUAGCGGCAGGCCUAAUACAUGCAAGUCGAGGGGCAGCAUCAUCGCUUGCGAUGGAUGGCGACCGGCGGACGGGUGCGUAACGCGUAUGCAACCUACCUUUUACAGAGGGACAGCCCGGAGAAAUUCGGAUUAAUACUUCAUGGUAUUCUAAAGUAGCAUUACUUAAGGAUUAAAGAUUUAUCGGUAAAGGAUGGGCAUGCGUCUGAUUAGUUAGUUGGUGAGGUAACAGCUCACCAAGACGAUGAUCAGUAGGGGUUCUGAGAGGAUGAUCCCCCACACUGGCACUGAGAUACGGGCCAGACUCCUACGGGAGGCAGCAGUAGGGAAUAUUGGUCAAUGGGCGAGAGCCUGAACCAGCCAUGCCGCGUGCAGGAAGACAGCCUUCUGGGUUGUAAACUGCUUUUACCAGGGAACAAAUAGCCCAUGCGUGGGAAGUUGCGUGUACCUGGGGAAUAAGCACCGGCUAACUCCGUGCCAGCAGCCGCGGUAAUACGGAGGGUGCAAGCGUUGUCCGGAUUUAUUGGGUUUAAAGGGUGCGUAGCCGGAUAAUUAAGUCA
rnacentral:rRNA from 1 species